ACAAGCAGUGGAGUAUGUGGUUUAAUUCGAAGCAACGCGAAGAACCUUACCAGGGCUUGACAUCCCUUGGAGCAGCUAGAGAUAGCUGUGGUCCUUCGGGACAAGGAGACAGGUGGUGCAUGGUUGUCGUCAGCUCGUGUCGUGAGAUGUUGGGUUAAGUCCCGCAACGAGCGCAACCCCUAUUGUUAGUUGCCAUCAUUCAGUUGGGCACUCUAGCGAGACUGCCGGUAAUAAACCGGAGGAAGGUGGGAUGACGUCAAAUCAUCAUGCCCCUUAUGACCUGGGCUACACACGUGCUACAAUGGUUGGUACAACGAGUUGCGAGUCGGUGACGGCGAGCUAAUCUCUUAAAGCCAAUCUCAGUUCGGAUUGUAGGCUGCAACUCGCCUACAUGAAGUCGGAAUCGCUAGUAAUCGCGGAUCAGCACGCCGCGGUGAAUACGUUCCCGGGCCUU
rnacentral:rRNA from 1 species